CGGUAACAGCUCAAAUUUGAAAGCUAGCUCUUUUAGGGUUCGCAUUGUAAUUUGUAGAAGAUGCUUCGGGUGUGGCUCCGGUCUAAGUUCCUUGGAACAGGACGUCAUAGAGGGUGAGAAUCCCGUAUGUGACUGGGUGCUUUCGCUCAUGUGAAGCUCUUUCGAC
rnacentral:rRNA from 1 species